UACAGAGGGGGCAAGCGUUGUUCGGAAUUACUGGGCGUAAAGAGCGCGCAGGCGGUCGUUCAAGUCGAGUGUGAAAGCCCCCGGCUCAACUGGGGAGGGUCAUUCGAUACUGAUCGACUCGAAGGCAGGAGAGGGAAGUGGAAUUCCCGGUGUAGUGGUGAAAUGCGUAGAUAUCGGGAGGAACACCAGGUGCGGAAGCGGACUUCCUGGCCUGUUCUUGACGCUGAGGUGCGAAAGCGUGGGGAGCAAACAGG
rnacentral:rRNA from 1 species